rnacentral:pre_miRNA from 1 species
AGCCUUUUGUGUCCGUGCUGAGAUUUUGUCACAUACCAGACCACAGGGACUGAUGAGGCUCCCGAAAUAAGUGAAGCG